rnacentral:lncRNA from 1 species
GAUGCUGCCGGCGGCCGCUCGCCCCCUGUGGGGGCCUUGCCUUGGGCUUCGGGCCGCUGCGUUCCGCCUUGCCAGCGACAGGUGCCAUGUGUCUGUGCCGUGCGACAUAUGAGGAGCAGCGGCCAUCAGAGGUGUGAGGCCCUCGCUGGUGCACCCCUGGAUAACGCCCCCAAGGAGUACCCCCCCAAGAUACAGCAGCUGGUCCAGGACAUCGCCAGCCUCACUCUCUUGGAAAUCUCAGACCUCAACGA